UGCACUCCAGCCUGGGAAACAGAGCAACACCCUGUCUCAAAAUAAAUAAAAUUAGCCAUCACAGGCAGACUGGAGGCAGAACUGCUGCUUCUUUGGGAAACUUUAGUCUUUGGCUAUAUAUCUAGAUAUAGAUAUAAAAAUAGUAUAUAGUAUCUGUGUCUAUAUUUCCUAUGGUUUUGUUUCUCUGGAGAACCCUGGCUAGUACACAUCCCCCAGCCAGAGCUGUUCAAAGGGCACCCCAGCUUCGAGGGAAGCUGGAAAUGAUCUCAAACUUGGAGGGUGUGCCCGUUGGGACUGCCAUAGCACCGCAUCAUCCACUGGGUGCCUUAAACAACAGACACUGAUUAUCUCACAGUCCUAGAAGGGAAGGCCAAGAUUAAGGUGUGGGCGAGGCUGGUUCCUCCUGCAGCCUCCCUCCUUGGCCCGUGGAUGCCAUCUCCCCCGUGUGUCCUCACACAGCUGUCCCUCUGUGUGCAUCUGUGUCCUAAUCUCCUCUUCUUUUAAGGACACCAGCCACCGUGGAUUAGGACCCACCCCAAUGAACUCAUUUUAACUUAAUCACCUCUUUAAAGGCUUUGUCUCCAAUUAUAGCCACAUUCUGAAGUUCCUGGAGGUUAGGGCUUCAGCACAGGAGUUUCGAGGGGACAAUUCUGCUGGUAUUAGAGGGUAUAUGCCCAGUGGGAAGCUGGAUUGCCACAAGAGAAGGGGAGACGGGACCCUGGGACAGACCUCCCUUCUUGAACAUUUGGGGGUGGGUGGGCCACAUCAGGUUUGUGAGCAUCUGCUGGUGGGCUUAGGCUCUGUUACCACACCCUCCCAGCGGGAUGGCCCUAGCCAGGAGAGGCUGUGCAAGCCCAAGCCUCCACGCCAUCUGCUAGUCCUCCCUCUAAGACCAAGUCCUGGAUAAUCUGGACGUUCCCACAAUGUCAUGCCUGAGCCCCACACCACCACGCAGGCCUGGCAUCUCCCACUACAGUGGGACGUGGUAUCUUAGUUGCUCCAGUCUGCGGACCCCCAGAAGCUAAACCCAUCUCGCACUCCUGGCGCUUGAUCAGUCACUUUUAGAAAACCCCUGCCUUGGUUUCCCCAGCCACCUGGGGAGGCCACGACGGUGAUGAGCUGAGCCUGGCACUGCUGACACCACAGCCCCCCUCCCUCCUCUGUCCUGCAUCUUCCGAGCUCUGAGGCAGGUUGGCAGGGGGGCCAGUCGCUGGUGGGCCCAGCCCUGUACACAGCAGGACACACCCAGAGCAGGCGGUGCUGGAGCAGGCUGGCGGGAUGGGACUCCAUGUCUCACCUCCAUCCGUUUCCACAACCUCAGCCAAAACUCUCGGCUGCUCAUGGGAGUGCAUAGUGGGGUGAGGGGCCAGCUGCUCAGAGACUCCCUCAGAAUAGGGCAGUGGCACUCUCCUUCCUCUAGGAAGGGAGGAAGCCCUGAGGCGAGAAUAACAGGAAACCACCUUCCCCCAACCCCCCCACAGUACCUGGGAAGCAGGGGCUGCGACCCCUACGCCCAGGCAUUUUCCAGUUCUCACUCCCCUGGCCCCUGCUUCAGCCUGGUCCCUGAAGCCAGGACAGGGGCGGGGUUUCCUCCCCCAGGUGCCAGGCCCCAGUCCCCUGCCUGCUGAUAAGGAGAACAGCAGCCAGGGUGGCUGGUGUAGAGUCCAGGAAGGCUUCUUGGAGGUGGCCUGGAGUUACGGCCUCACAUGGCUCAGGCACUGGAAUGUGGCCCCCAGGACUCUGGAGCUGAAAGCUCUGUUUCCUUUGAGUCCAUUCGAACUGAAGUGGCCCCUGGUGUUGGUGGUGGCUUCUUUGGGGUGGGGGGGCCUAGGCAGGACAGAUUCGGAGCCAGUGGGCCCGGCCCGGGGCACCAGGUUGCCGCACGCCUUUCCUGCUGCCUGUGCAGGGGUGGAAGCAAAUUCCUCCUCUGGCUGAGGACCAGGCUGACGUGAGCCCAGAGGAACUCGACCCCCGCCCGUGGGUGUUGUCUGCGCCACUCCCUGCCCCGGGUUUCAUCCUGCCUGCCUUCCGCUCUGUCCGCAUGGGGCUGCCCGGGGGGUACCGGGUCACCCUCAGGAACGCCAGGCUCUGGCAGAGGAAGGGGUGGCGGCUGCAGCCAGUGGCUAGGGAGCGCAUUCUAGGCCUGGCCUAUCUCAGUCAGGAAGCUGGCGUCUGGCGGGGGACUGAGGCCCAGGGACCUUGGGGGACCCAGCUGAUUUGCUCCAGGCUCCUCACCAUGCCCGGAGCCUCGCCUGGUUGGAUACAAAGACCUCUGCUUGCUGGGACUCUGCACCAUAAGGACACAUUGAGUAAGUCUUCUUUGGUGCUUUGAGUGGAGGGCAGUGGAGAGGGGAAUGUCAACAGGGUGCAUGGGCCCCAGGAGGCCAGCAAGGCAGGGAUGGCUUGGACCAGGGCAGUCAGACUCUAGGGCUGAAGGCUGCUGGGGCCACCUUGUAGAUGUGUCACCUACUACCAGGGAAAGUGGCCACUGUACAGGGCUGCUCAGCAGGGGGUAUGGGACAUCACUCCUCGAGAAAGCACGGUGGGGUGGAUAUGUCAUAGCAGUGUGUGGUUCCUGCCUAAAUUGUCCUCUGUGAGUUCAGCUGUGAAGAGAGGACGAGAGUUAUUGGAAGGACGUCCUGUGGUCUGGAAGGACGUCCUGUGGGAGGACAGGCUGGGCUCCAGGGGAGCUUGGAAUCCUGCACUGAAGAGGACUAUAGACACAUGAUGGGGGUGACCCUGGCCUGAAAAAAGCAGAAGUUACCAAGGAUGUGAUUUGAAGCUGUGAUUGUGUCUCAUCAUGUCACACUGAUUAGGGGUGCGGAGGGGUUGUGGGCUGGAUGGUGCCUGUCCUUAUCCGUGGAGACACUUGGGGAUGGAGCCUCCUGCCACCUGCAGCUGAAGUCCCAAUGGUCCAGCAAAUGAAAAAAAUGACACAACAGCCACACGUGGACGCUGGCGAACUGGUAGGAAAGAGGAAGCGGCCGGGUGCGGUAGCUCACGCCUGUAAUCCCAGCACUUUGGGAGGCCAAAGCCGGUGAAUCGCUUGAGCCUAGGAGUUUGAGACCAGCCUGGACAACAUGGGGAGACCAUUUCUACAAAAAAAAUACAAAAAUUAGCUGGUGUGGUGGCUAGCGCCUGUAGUUCCAGCUACUCAAGAGGCUGAGGAGGGAGGACUGCCUGAGCUCUGGAGCUUGAGGCCAGCCUGGGCAACAUAACCAAGACCCUGUCUUUACAAAAAAUAAAAAUAAAAAUAAAAAUAAAAAUAAAAUGCUGAUACAUGCUAGACCGUG